CUUCAAACACAUUUAACCACAUUCAAGUGAGAGAAAGCUAGCGAGAGAAAGCUUUGUUUCCGCCCAUGGUUUCCUGAUUUUGCUGGUUUCUUGUCACUAAAUCAAAAGCUAUGGCCCGAAAGAAAAAGCAAUCUACUCCUGCUCUUGCUAAAAUCACUAAUGAAAUAGUUGAAUCUUUGCUUGCUCCUACUUCGGUAGGGUUUUCACCAUUGCAUGAAGUUUUUUAUGAAGGUGAUGAGUUGGUAACUCCUGCUCCUGGUCUUGUGCAUCCGUCAGCAGGGAAGGUAACUAGGAGGGACGCUGAACUAGCUCCUAGCUCUCAAUUUUGGAUCUAUUAGCCCCAAAUCGACUGCAACAGUUUCUAAUCCCCCGAUUACUGUUCCAUUGGCUACUGGUCAAGCGGUUAGCUCUUCAGCUACACCUAUUGUGGUUCCUGGUAAUCAAGCUGAUUUUCCGCCUCUUUCUAGCUCUAAUGUUGCAGAUACUGGUGAUUUUCGAGGUAGGGUGACUGGGGUACACGCUUUCAAUGGUAAACUGAAUGCGAAGGGGGUUUCUCUGAGUUAUUUCCCUCCUCAGAUUAAGGAUGGUAAGUCUAUUGCUGUAUUACCUACUGAUGAAAUUGAAGAGGGUACUAGGAAGUGGAGUAAUGCAGCAGUCUUGUAUGUGGUUGAAUUUUAUCCUACUAUUGCUUCUGCUAAGCGUUUUAUUGUGAAUGAAUGGGGAAUUGAUAAUAAACCCGAGGUUUUCUAGCAUUAUGAGCGAUAUUUUAUUAUCAAUUUGUGUUCUCAAACUGACUUGAAUGCUGUAUUGUGUGGGGGUCCUCACAUGUUUUAUGGAAAGCCGGCUAUUGUGAAACCUUGGUCUGACAAAAAUUCGAUUUCAAUGCUGAAAUUUUGCGUACUGUACCUCUGUGGAUUAAGUUGCCUAAUCUUCCUCUCAAUUGUUGGGGUCCUGAAACACUAGGUAGGAUUGGCAGCACUCUUAGUGUUCCAAUUUGUGCUGAUGAAUGCACAACGAGGCAAUUAAGGGUUUCUUUUGCUCGGAUGUUGGUUGAAAUUGACAUUACUAAGCCUCUAGAAAAAUCUGUCUAGGUGGAGAGCCCUAAAGUAGAGGUUGUGGAGUUGACUGUGGAGUAUGAAUGGUCUCCUCCUUAUUGCGGGAAGUGCAAUAAUGUUGGUCAUAUAUGUGAGGAGCCGAAACUUAAACAGAACCAGCCUGCUGCUAAGCCUCAAACCCCGAAGAAAACUUGAGUUCAGAAAGUGAAAUAAAGAGGGUUCUAGUUUACCAUCAAAGACUAAUGGAGGGUGGGAAACUAUGAAAAAGAAAGGGAAAGAAGUUGUUGAGAACAUGAUGCCUGUGCUGAUUACAAACAAGUAUGAUGUGUUAUCUGAUGAACAAAAUGCAGAAGACAAUGUUCUUGUGAGGCAGAAUAUUACUGAACCGAGCGGGGGUGGGCCCCAUAUACAGCAAUGAUCCUCACUGUGUGGAAUGUUAGGGGUCUUAAUGAACCCAGUAAGGUGGCUGAUGUCAGGCACCUCCUUCAUAGAACUAAAUUUGAGUUAAUUUGUUUGUUGGAAACUAGAGUUAAACAGCAUAAGAGUAGUGGUAUACAGAAGAAGAUCUCUUAUGGCUUAACUUGGGUGUGUAAUUAUUCUGUUUCUAGAAAAGGAAGAAUAUGGCUCGGCUGGAAGAGUGAUAGGCUCCAUGUUGAGUUAAUAAGUAUUCACACUCAGUUCAUUCAUUGUCUUGUUAGUUAUGUUGAUUACAGUAGGCAGAUUGAUGUUUCCUUUGUCUAUGGGUUGCAUAAUAUUCAGGAUAAGAAAGAGUUGUGGGGAGGUAUAAGGGCUAUUGGCCCUGUGUAUCUUCCUUGGAUUUGCACAGGUGAUUUCAAUUCUGUGUUGCAAGCUGAUGAUAGAAUUAAUGGGAGUGAGGUAACAGAUUAUGAAGUUAGAGAUUUCAAAGAGUUUGUGGAGGCACUAGUAGAAAAAAUUAAAUAGGCACCCCCCCUAUAGCACCGGUUCUUAAAAACCAAUGCCAAAUAAAACGGGCGGGACCAAAAAAAUUAAGAGUUGGCACCGGUUCUAACCAAAACCGGUGCCAAGCAUGCAAUUAGCACCGGUUCAAACCGGUGGCAACUUGUAAAAUUAAAAAAAAAAAAAGAUGGGGAAGGAGUUGGCACCGGUUCUCCUUAAACAGGUGGCAAUUAAGGUAGUUAGAACCGGUUCAAACCGGUGCCAUUUAAAAAAAUAAAACGCGGGUUUUGCUGCUUCAACUUGGUUCAACGGCAUUCUUUCUUCAUUCCUCGUUUUGGCUUCAAAAAUUCCCAGACAUUUUUGCCCUAUUCUCUUCUCCCUCCAUCUCCAUUGAAAGGCUGUGCGAGCUUUCUCCUCUCCAUUGAAGCAGUUAAGCUAAGCGACCUUACUCACAUCUUUCAUUCAAUUCAAUUCAAUUUUCUGCAUUCCCUCUUCCCAAACCCUUCCUCCAUUGAAGCUUCCAUUGAAGCUUUUGCCUCCUCACGCACGCAGCCUGUCUGGGCUUUGUUCUUCUCCUCACGCACGCACUCAGUUCUUCUCUUCUGCCUCCCUCCAUGCAUUAUUGAAGCAGCUUCGACCUAGGGUUUGUCAAUUGCUACUUAACUACUCCAUUAAACGCGCAAGGCUCCCCCUCCAUUAAACGCACAAGGCUGCCCCUCCACAAAUGCUAUAAUGAAAAAGAUUCAGAGGAAUUUUUGGGCGAAGCAUUGACCUUGGCAUUGACCUUCUAGUUGAGAGUGUUGAGACUUUAUAGGUACUCAGAGGAGGAUGAGUUUACUACACUUUGGGCGGCAAAAGGUAGUUUUGUGCAAUGGCCAUGUGCUUGGAUACGGUUGAUGAACCAGCCAUCGAGGAAAAGCCAAACUCCAAAGAAGAGGGUGGAGGGGCCAAAAAGCAUUGAUCAACCGAUGCCAAAGAAGAGGAGUGAACAUGGCUCGGUGAGUGGAAAAGCGUUGAACAAGAGCUCUUCACGAGGUUCAGCUAUGCAAGCUACUCCACUAGUUGAAGACACGGUGCUUCAAUCGCUCUCUAAGGAGUUAACUUAACUGCACAACCGUGUUUGCGUGUUGCCUAGUGACAGCCCCAUUCAAGUUCCACUACCUAAGGAAAUGUUCCACUACGAUGAUGAUGCAAUGGCAUGGCUAUUCAAAGAAGAUGUGAAGGAAUUUCUAAGUGGUGCAAUGCUUAACAUUUCCCUCAUUCAAAUAUGCAUCAGGUAAUUCAACUAGUACUCAAUUUAUGUUAUUCAGUUUAGUGG